rnacentral:rRNA from 1 species
UAGGGAAUCUUCCACAAUGGGCGCAAGCCUGAUGGAGCAACACCGCGUGAGUGAAGAAGGGUUUCGGCUCGUAAAGCUCUGUUGUUGGAGAAGAACGUGCGUGAGAGUAACUGUUCACGCAGUGACGGUAUCCAACCACGAAAAGUCACGGCUAACUACGUGCC